UACGGGGACAGUAUGGAGUUCAGGUCACUCUCUGUAAUACUCUUGCUGACUGUCCUCAUCCACAGUGGACAAACAGAGAGACCAAAAGCUACAGUGACAAUACAUCCAGCUAAUCAUGUGUUCAUCGGAGAGACAGUCACUCUCACAUGUGAUAUAGGAAGUGGAGGUCGCUGGAAUUAUCAGUGGUAUAAAGAAAAGAACUUUCUCAGUGAUACUCAAAGGAGGAAUAAAUACACUAUUCCUAAUGUUGAUCAGACUCAUAGAGGAGAUUAUACCUGUAAUGGAGAACAGUCAACAGACCCGCUUUACUCACAGAC